UACAGAGGAGCCAAGCGUUGUCCGGAUUGACUGGGCGUAAAGCGCACGCAGGCGGACGCGCGCGUGGGGUGUGAAAUCUGGCCGCUUAACGGCCAGGCGCCAUCCCAUACGGCGCGUCUGGAGCAAUGCAGAGGUCGGUGGAAUUGCCGGUGUAGUGGCGAAAUGCGUAGAGAUCGGCAGGAACACCCAGGGGGAAACCAGCCGACUGGGCAUUUGCUGACGCUGAGGUGCGAGAGCGUGGGGAGCGAACCGG
rnacentral:rRNA from 1 species